CAAAUACUCCCUCUGUCCCAAAUUUCUUGUCUUAGAUUUGUCUAGAUACGGAUGUAUCUAAUACUAAAAUGUGACUUGAUACAUCUGUAUCUAGACAAAUCUAAGACAAGAAUUUUGGGAUGGAGGGAGUACUUU
rnacentral:pre_miRNA from 1 species